UUUUCUCCCUACGUUGAGUGACAUCGAAAGUUGAAGCGCAAAGCGAUGUUUCCUCGCAGCCGCGUGAAAAGGAUCACGAUGAAGUUUGCAGAUUUAACGCAAUUGUCAAAAAAA